AUUGCAAAUUUUAACUACAAAUCCCAACUUAACGAAAAAGCUUUUUGCAAAUUGCAAUAUAUUUUGAGACGAGUUUUCUACGAUUUUUGCUACAGAUUUAUCUAUCCAUUACAUUAGUAAACUAUUGACGAUAUCGCUUUGUUUUCCUACAAAUUCCAAGUUACAGAAAAAUUUGCAGGAAAUCAACAACUCUAUCUCUCUCAUCUCUGCGAUCGAUUCUCACUCCUAUCUCUCUCUCUCUAUCCUUUUGAAUUUCUGAACAUUCUUUUCAGAAAAUCUAAGGUUAUACAACUCCUCCGACCUGUUUUAUCUCCCUAUUUUAUCUCACUCUUUGCUCUUUUGUUCUCAACCUGUUUAGUGUUACUCCCCACAAGGUAUACACGUUUAAAUUCUUAUUAAUCAGUGUUAAAUGCACUGUUAUAUGUUGUUCAAUUUGUUUAUGGUUUAUUAUAUGUGUAUGUUUAAAUCUAUGCUCUAUAGGUUGGUUGUGUGUGUCAAUUAUAUUGGUUUGAGGGAGGAAUUUAGUUACAUAGGUUGGAGUGAUAAGGUAAUUCUAACAUAGGUUGGAUGAAAAUGUUCAGCCCAACAAUCUCGACAUUGCCAGCUGUGCUAGGCCUUGCGGACUCAUGUUUGAAACUCAAUAUGAUUAAGUAUAAUUGGUUAAAACAGUAAUCACCAUAUUGAAUCUUGGACAAUUUGAGAAGAAACUUUUUCUUAGGUACAUGUUAAAUCUCAUAUCUUAGAUUUGAUGAAAUUUUGGUUUACUACAGUUAUUUUGUUUUGAGGGUGCAUACUUGAUUGGUUUAGAUGUGAUGCCACGAUAUUCAUGUCGUUCAGUUGGAGACUAUUGUGAAAUGUUACUGAAAUUUUUCCAAAUUAAAGACAUGAGUUUUGAUGACUAACUAUUAGAAAGUGACUUCUUGAAUGGAUGGGCCAUCCCAUGUAUAAUUGAGAUACGUAUUGUUUGAAUCAUGUUUUAUAUUUGAAUUCUACACACUGCGCACACACACAAUGCGUGAAAAACUAGUUAUAUAGUAACUAUAUUUGCAGCUUAGCCAAAAAUGGAAAUGCCAGCUCAACGUACAUGGAUGUAUUAUAAUCUUAUUGGUGGUCAAAGGCGAUAUACAGUUGAAUUUUUGCAAAGCCUUGAAGAGUUUCUUGAUUUUGCUUGUCAACAACCACAGUAUUUGAAUGAAGGUGUGAUAAGGUGUCCAUGUAAGCUAUGUAAAAAUGAGAGGCACCUAACUCCUAAUGAAGUAAAUGCUCAUAUUCGUCAAAAGGGUUUACACCCGGAUAUUGGUAUUGGACAUCUCAUGGAGAGGAAGCCCCUCCGAUUAAUCUGGAUGCUGAUAUGCACUCAAGACUCAAUGCGUUGCAGUACUCAACAAGACAUGAGGUUUGAUGAUGGAAUGUUGAGUUUAAAAUCUAAACACAACAUGUCACAAAACUGUUUCAAUGACCUGAUGUUUUGAUAUUGUUUAAAAACGUGUCUAAUGAAAUAUUCAAGCCAUGAUUCGACACCAGUUUUAAGUAUCUGCUAUAUGAAUCAGAGAUAGAGGCAUAUGAACAUUCCUUAACAAAAUCAAAACUAAUCGAUAUCUAAUACUAAUUAAUUUGCACAUCUCAUCUGUAUUAAAAUGCCCAACCCCAGGUCUUCAUCCCACAUGAAUAUAGUCAUAUGGUGCCACAGUGUCUGGAUGCAGAAACCGUCGAGGCAUACUAACUGCGCACUGUGUUUUGUAAAUAAUAUAAACAAAAAAAUAAUAUGAGAAGUUGUCAUUCAAAACUUAUUAGCUUGCAGAGGAUGUUUUUACCACUCGGUUUGUUGUGAACAGUCACAUGAAAGUUUUUUUUGACAACUCAAACUGGUCCCAUUCAGUGAUUCAGCCAUCAUAAAAAAAUGGAUGGUGAAGUUCUUCGAAAACUGUACAAGUGACAUAGAUAUUAGAAAUUUUGUUUCAGAUACAGGUCCCAAACUCUCAAUGCCCUCCAUUCUGUUUUCUGGUUCACUGUAUAUAUAUUUAGUGUGCGCGCGCGCUCUUGAUGUUUGUGCCCUUGCCCUUUCAUUGCAUCUUUGAUUAAUUCUCUCUAACUUUAUCUUUUCUAGCAGUUAUUUUUUAUUUAUUUUAUGAUGUAUUCAAAUGUGAUGCAGGAUAAAUUUGAACAAAAAAAAUUGGAAUUAUUUUCGAAGUUUGUUUCGCGAGAGAAUGGAGGCAAUAAUCAACGAUCUAUAGAAAUGCCGUCUGACUUGGAUAUAUGGGUAGAUUCAGUUGGAAAGAAAAAAGCAAGGUUUUUUGGUCUCGGAUCUGCAAACAAAACAAUGGUUACAUCCGUUAAAGUUCCGGUUAAUUCAGAAGAUGUCAAUACUUUAAGAAGUCAGAUUCACACACUUAACAAGUCACUGCAAAAACAAGAACAAGAGAAAAAGGGAAAUGAAACAAGAAUUGGCCUAGACUAGAAAACAAGUAGUUGCUUUAAUGCAACACUUAGGAUUUACCGGCUCUUCUUCUCAUCUAAAUUCAUUACAUCAACAUAGCAAUGAAAUUGAUAAUGGUGAUGAUGAUAGUGAUGGUGACCACAUGGAGUAGGAUUGUAUCUGAUUUAUAGGACUUGAAGAAGUAGUAUAUUUUGUUUAGUACAAAAAAGUUUGAACAUAUUGUGUUAUGUUUUAUGCAUUUCUUGGAUUUUUAAUGGGGAAAUUUAAGAUACUUCCAAAUA